rnacentral:rRNA from 1 species
CCCUACGGGGUGCAGCAGGCGCGAAACCUCCGCAAUGCACGGAAGUGCGACGGGGGGACCCCAAGUGCCACUCUUAACGGGGUGGCUUUUCUUGAGUGUAAAAAGCUUUUGGAAUAAGGGCUGGGCAAGACCGGUGCCAGCCGCCGCGGUAACACCGGCAGCUCAAGUGGUAGCCAUUUUUAUUGGGCCUAGAGCGUUCGUAGCCGGUUUGAUAAGUCUCUGGUGAAAUCCUAUGGCUUAGCUGUGGGAAUUGCUGGAGAUACUAUUAGACUUGAGGUCGGGAGAGGUUAGCGGUACUCCCAGGGUAGGGGUGAAAUCCUGUAAUCCUGGGAGGACCACCUGUGGCGAAGGCGGCUAACUGGAACGAACCUGACGGUGANGGACGAAAGCCAGNGGCNCGAA